AUACGAAGGGUGCAAGCGUUACUCGGAAUUACUGGGCGUAAAGCGUGCGUAGGUGGUUUGUUAAGUCUGAUGUGAAAGCCCUGGGCUCAACCUGGGAAUGGCAUUGGAUACUGGCAGGCUAGAGUGCGGUAGAGGGUAGUGGAAUUCCCGGUGUAGCAGUGAAAUGCGUAGAGAUCGGGAGGAACAUCUGUGGCGAAGGCGACUACCUGGACCAGCACUGACACUGAGGCACGAAAGCGUGGGGAGCAAACAGGAUUAGAUACCCUGGUAGUCCACGCCCUAAACGAUGCGAACUGGAUGUUGGGCUCAACUUGGAGCUCAGUAUCGAAGCUAACGCGUUAAGUUCGCCGCCUGGGGAGUACGGUCGCAAGACUGAA
rnacentral:rRNA from 1 species